rnacentral:rRNA from 1 species
UACGAAGGGGGCUAGCGUUGCUCGGAAUCACUGGGCGUAAAGCGCACGUAGGCGGAUCGUUAAGUCGGGGGUGAAAUCCUGGAGCUCAACUCCAGAACUGCCUUCGAUACUGGCGAUCUCGAGUCCGGAAGAGGUGAGUGGAACUCCUAGUGUAGAGGUGGAAUUCGUAGAUAUUAGGAAGAACACCAGUGGCGAAGGCGACUCACUGGUCCGGUACUGACGCUGAGGUGCGAAAGCGUGGGGAGCAAACAGG